GUAUUUUGUCAUAAACAUAUAUUUGCACAACGUGAAGGUCUUUACCUUUUUCCCUUAAGAACAAGGUACUGUCAAUUUACCUUUUUUGUAACCAUGCUCCAAUAGGAAUUUAGAUAGCCGUUCAUACCAAGAUCUUGGGGUCUGUUUGAGCCCAUAUAGAGCCUUGUUUAACGUGUACACAUGCUCAGGACAUUCCUUGAUUUCAAACCCUGGGGGUUGUUUAACAAACACUUCUUCCUUUAGGUAGCCAUUCAGGAAGGCACUUUUGACAUCCAUCUGAUGGAGAAAUCUUGGAGGUUGUUUUACAAGCACUUCUUCUUUCAGGUAGCCAUUCAAAAAGGCACUUUUGACAUCCAUUUGAUGGAGAGUGAAUUUCAUGUGUGCUGCAAAGGCUAUGAGGAGUCUGAUUGCCUCUAGUCUUGCAACUGGAGCAAAAGUCUCAUCAUAGUUAAUGCCCUACUCUUGGUUGUAGCCUUGAACCACCAGCCUUACCUUGUUUCUUGUAACUGUUCCAUCUUUAUCAAGUUUAUUCCUGAAGACCCAUAUUGUGCCAAUGACUAAUGUGUCAUUAGGUCUUGGAACUAGAUGCCAAACUUUACUUCUUUCAAAUUGGUUGAGUUCAUCCUGCAUAGCGUUCACCCAAUCAGCAUCCUAUAAAGCUUCAACAAUAUUGUUAGGUUCAAUAAGAGAUAGUAAAGCAUCAAAAGCACACAGAUUCUUCAGUUGUGAUCUAGUUUUGACUCCAGAUGUUGGAUCAGUGAUAAUGUUCUCAAUGGGAUGAGAACUUUGAUACUUGUGAGGUGUCAGAAAACCCUGGUUUCUGCUAUAUGUCUCUCCCAUGUUCUGUUGCUGAGGAACAGGUUCAUGAACAUGUUUCUCUUCGGGGUUUGAUUCAGUUUUUCCUUGAUUAGUUCCCCCUAUCAGCUUGCCCUUAUUAAAGGGACAUUUCCAUCACAUGUUCCUUUUUUUGAUGCCACUUUGACUUGUGCUGGGGAUUCAGUCAAUUCGUUUACCAGUCCAAUUGCUUCAUAUCCAUGUUCGUUUCUCUCAGAAAGAAUGUUAGUUUCAUCAAAUAAAACAUAUACACUUUCUUCUACACACAGAGUUUUUUAUUAAACACUUUAUAAGCUUUGCUAUAUGCAGAAUAUCUCAAGAAUACUCCUUCGUCACUUCUGGGAUCAAACUUACAUAGGGAGUCUUUUCCAUUAUUGUGCACAUAGCACUUGCAACCAAAUGCCCUAAGAUGGGAUAUGUUUGGUUUUC
rnacentral:lncRNA from 1 species